CUCCUACAUUCUUCUCAACACCAGGCUUCCCACCCUCCAACUUCUCCAGUCGCCUACAGCUCAAUUCAGGGCACCACUGAAGAGAAGAGAGCGAUUUUGGCUUUGAUUCCAGGGUGAUGUUUCACAGAGCGUCAACUCUUGUUCCAGAAUGCAACUCUGACACUUAAAGGGGAAAGAACACUUUGAAGGGCUUUCCAAAGGACAUG